GUGGGUAGUUUGACUGGGGCGGUCUCCUCCUAAAGAGUAACGGAGGAGCACGAAGGUUGGCUAAUCCUGGUCGGACAUCAGGAGGUUAGUGCAAUGGCAUAAGCCAGCUUGACUGCGAGCGUGACGGCGCGAGCAGGUGCGAAAGCAGGUCAUAGUGAUCCGGUGGUUCUGAAUGGAAGGGCCAUCGCUCAACGGAUAAAAGGUACUCCGGGGAUAACAGGCUGAUACCGCCCAAGAGUUCAUAUCGACGGCGGUGUUUGGCACCUCGAUGUCGGCUCAUCACAUCCUGGGGCUGAAGUAGGUCCCAAGGGUAUGGCUGUUCGCCAUUUAAAGUGGUACGCGAGCUGGGUUUAGAACGUCGUGAGACAGUUCGGUCCCUAUCUGCCGUGGGCGCUGGAAGAUUGAGGGGGGCUGCUCCUAGUACGAGAGGACCGGAGUGGACGCAUCACUGGUGUUCGGGUUGUCAUGCCAAUGGCACUGCCCGGUAGCUACAUGCGGAAGAGAUAAGUGCUGAAAGCAUCUAAGCACGAAACUUGCCCCGAGAUGAAUCUUCCCUGAGCCUUUAAGGCUCCUGAAGGAACGUUGAAGACGACGACGUUGAUAGGCCGGGUGUGUAAGCGCAGCGAUGCGUUGAGCUAACCGGUACUAAUGAACCGUGAGGCUUAACCUUACAACGCCGA
rnacentral:rRNA from 1 species